UACGUAGGAGGCGAGCGUUGUCCGGAAUCACUGGGUGUAAAGCGCGUGUAGGCGGCCUGCCAAGUCUGCUGUGAAAGCGCCUGGCUUAACCGGGCGAGGUCGGUGGAAACUGGCGGGCUGGAGGACGGUAGAGGGGGGUGGAAUUCCCGGUGUAGUGGUGAAAUGCGUAGAGAUCGGGAGGAACACCAGUGGCGAAGGCGGCUACCUGGACCGGUUCUGACACUGAGGAGCGAAAGCGUGGGGAGCGAUCCGG
rnacentral:rRNA from 1 species